AGAGUUUGAUCAUGGCUCAGGACGAACGCUGGCGGCGUGCUUAACACAUGCAAGUCGAACGGAAAGCCCCCUUCGGGGGGACUCGAGUGGCGAACGGGUGAGUAACACGUGGGUGAUCUGCCCUGCACUUUGGGAUAAGCCUGGGAAACUGGGUCUAAUACCGGAUAGGACUACGAAUCGCAUGGUUUGUGGUGGAAAGCUUUGGCGGUGUGGGAUGGGCCCGCGGCCUAUCAGCUUGUUGGUGGGGUAACGGCCCACCAAGGCGACGACGGGUAGCCGGCCUGAGAGGGUGAACGGCCACACUGGGACUGAGACACGGCCCAGACUCCUACGGGAGGCAGCAGUAGGGAAUCUUGCGCAAUGGGCGAAAGCCUGACGCAGCGACGCCGCGUGCGGGACGAAGGCCCUCGGGUUGUAAACCGCUUUCAGCAGGGACGAAGCGAAAGUGACGGUACCUGCAGAAGAAGGUCCGGCCAACUACGUGCCAGCAGCGGCGGUAAUAC
rnacentral:rRNA from 1 species